rnacentral:rRNA from 1 species
GACGAACGCUGGCGGCGUGCUUAACACAUGCAAGUCGAACGGAAAGACCCUGCUUUUGUGGGGUGCUCGAGUGGCGAACGGGUGAGUAACACGUGAGUAACCUGCCCUUGACUUUGGGAUAACUUCAGGAAACUGGGGCUAAUACCGGAUAGGAGCUCCUGCUGCAUGGUGGGGGUUGGAAAGUUUCGGCGGUUGGGGAUGGACUCGCGGCUUAUCAGCUUGUUGGUGGGGUAGUGGCUUACCAAGGCUUUGACGGGUAGCCGGCCUGAGAGGGUGACCGGCCACAUUGGGACUGAGAUACGGCCCAGACUCCUACGGGAGGCAGCAGUGGGGAAUAUUGCACAAUGGGCGGAAGCCUGAUGCAGCAACGCCGCGUGCGGGAUGACGGCAUUCGGGUUGUAAACCGCUUUCGCCUGUGACGAAGCGUGAGUGACGGUAAUGGGUAAAGAAGCACCGGCUAACUACGUG